AGGUGUUGGGUUAAGUCCCGCAACGAGCGCAACCCUUGUCCUUAGUUGCCCCCGGGUAAUGCUGUGGCACUCUAAGGAAACUGCCCGUGUUAAGCGGGAGGAAGGUGGGGACGACGUCAAGUCAUCAUGGCCUUUAUAUCCAGGGCUACACACGUGCUACAAUGGAUGGCACAGAGAGUUGCGAGUGCGCGAGCAGGAGCUAAUCUCAAAAAACCAUCCUCAGUUCGGAUCGAAGUCUGCAACUCGACUUCGUGAAGCUGGAAUCGCUAGUAAUCGCGGAUCAGCAUGCCGCGGUGAAUACGUUCCCGGGCCU
rnacentral:rRNA from 1 species